rnacentral:rRNA from 1 species
ACGAACGCUGGCGGCGUGCUUAACACAUGCAAGUCGAACGGAAAGGCCCUGCUUUUGUGGGGUGCUCGAGUGGCGAACGGGUGAGUAACACGUGAGUAACCUGUCCUUGACUUUGGGAUAACUUCAGGAAACUGGGGCUAAUACCGGAUAGGAGCUCCUGCUGCAUGGUGGGGGUUGGAAAGUUUCGGCGGUUGGGGAUGGACUCGCGGCUUAUCAGCUUGUUGGUGGGGUAGUGGCUUACCAAGGCUUUGACGGGUAGCCGGCCUGAGAGGGUGACCGGCCACAUUGGGACUGAGAUACGGCCCAGACUCCUACGGGAGGCAGCAGUGGGGAAUAUUGCACAAUGGGCGGAAGCCUGAUGCAGCAACGCCGCGUGCGGGAUGACGGCCUUCGGGUUGUAAACCGCUUUCGCCUGUGACGAAGCGUGAGUGACGGUAAUGGGUAAAGAAGCACCGGCUAACUACGUG